CGUUAUCGCGCGCGCUAACGCGUUUCCAACAGUCGCGCGACGGCCGGCCCGAGCGUAUAUAACACCGGUGCCGCCGAUCCCGUGCGCCCGUGGUCCGCUUCGUCUCGUCCUCUCGUCACGUAAUCCGCGUCUCAGCCGCCGCCGCCGAUUCCGUAGACGAGAUCGUACCUGUACCGCCGGGACGAACCGACUCGUGCGCCGACCGCCGACCGACUUUACGCCGAACAACCGUUUUUUGAAAAUUGUAUACGAUCGUCGUACGACCCGACCGUAUAAUCGAACGCGAUUAAUAUAAUAUAUAUUGUAAAACUUCGUCGUCAUCGAUCGGUCAGACUCAGUAUUAUAGUGCAAACGAACGCGAGAUGCUCCCGACCGUCGCAGCCGCCCUGUUGAUCGCCGCCGUCCAGGUCGUUCAAGUCGCCGGCGCCUACACACCGUGGGAUCAUUUAUUCGACUACCGAGAUGAACAGGUGCCUGACGAACGGCCGACCAAAUAUUGCGCGGCGUGUGAUAAGCCAUGUGGGACCCAACCGGAACGGAGGUCGGCUUUCGCGAAAAUCGUUAACGGCAAAGACACUCGGGAAAACGAAUUCGGUUGGGCGGCUACGUUGGCCCGUCGCGGUCAGUUCUAUUGCGGCGGCACGCUCAUCACCAAGAAGCACGUGCUCACCGCCGCCCAUUGCGUCGAGAAUUUCAGCCCUAAAGAUCUAACCGUGACCAUCGGUGAACACGACCGGAAAGUCGACACCGGUCGCAAGUCCGUGCACCACGUGGCCCAUAUACACCGGCAUCAAGACUUCCGGCUAAGCACAUUCGACAACGACAUCGCCAUCAUAGAACUUCGUGAAGCCGCGUCCAUCAACAAUCCGUGGGUGCGCGUCGCGUGCUUACCCAAGUCCGCUGAAACGUCAUACGAAGGUAUCAAGGGCACAGUGAUCGGAUGGGGCAGAUUGGGCGAGCGCAAAAAAUCAUCCAACAUCUUGCAGAAAGUCGACGUACCGAUCAUAUCGAACGCGGACUGCAAGGAAAUGGGAUAUUCACCAGAGAAGAUCACCGGUAACAUGAUAUGCGCUGGAUAUAGGGAAGGACAACAAGACGCCUGUCAGGGUGAUAGUGGCGGACCUAUGCACAGACGUGUAGAUUCUUCUGAUAUCAUGGAAGUCAUUGGAAUCGUGUCUUGGGGCAAAGGAUGUGCCAGAGAAAACUAUCCAGGAGUGUAUACCAGAGUGGCCAAUUACCUGGACUGGAUUAUGGAUCAUACAGGAGACGAAUGCAUCUGUGGAGCCGAAAGUUCCUGAAACCGUUUCUUCGUUACCUCAUCUACUUCACCGCUUAUACAUUUGAAUAUACCACACUUAAAAAUAUUAUAAUUAUAAUUAUAAUUAUUAUAUUAUUAUUAUUAUUAUUAUUAUUAUUACUCUCAUGUGCAUAAUUAAGUAUAAAUCUAAACGUAUAUUAUAUUUAUAUAAUGUUACUGCAUAGCUUAUAAUUUUUAUUAACCACCGAAUAUGAUUAACUACAUUUUAAUAUAUUGUUAUGUAUUACAUACUAUAAUAUAUAUUAUAUAUAUAUUUACGAUGUAAAUUACGUAAAGUCUAGUCAACACACAGCUGUAUAAUUAUAUAUUAUAUAUAUAUAUAUAAAUAUUGAAUUUUAAAUAGCAUUAAUUAUAAUACGAUGAUUUUAA